GAUCCAAAAUUCUUCCCUACCAGCCUUUUCCCUUCCAUCUGGGGAUUAGCCCAGGCCCAUGGGUAAAUCACAUCUUCCUGCCAGGAUCCAAUUCAGGAUACCAUAUCGCAAUUUGUAAUUCAUUAUUUUAAAUUUUAUUUGUAUAAAAUUGACACAUAUUCAUGGUUUAAAAAGUCAAAAGAUUGUAUACCACUUAAAACAAAGAAAAGCAAUCUGCCCAAACGUUCCUCACCUCAAGUUCCUUUCUCCCAAAGGUAAACAAUUUUAUCUUUCUCUCCCUUUCAUC
rnacentral:lncRNA from 1 species